rnacentral:lncRNA from 1 species
CUUCCUGUUUAAUUUCUAAAUGGUAGAGAUGUUCCAAGUCAAAGCUGCAAUGUUUUGUUUGUGAGACCAAUAUCCAGCAUAUCUUCUCAUCCCCAGACAAUUGAGUUCUGCGUAUUCUGCGUAUUCGCUGAUCUUGCUUGGCAGGCUAUGAAAGAUGACAAGGUGAAACAGGAAGCAAGAACAGUUCAUGGUUAUUGCCAAAAUGUUCAGUCUCUACAGUUCAGUAGGAAAGGGACAAGCCUGAAGCACAUUGGGGCUGGAUGAUUGCACACUCAGAGCUUGUCAAAUGAAACUUUUUGUGUGUCCCUGUUGUCACCUUGAGUGGAAGAAUCCUGGAAAAGGCCAACGAGUUUCACAUUGAGGUCUCAAAUGACUUUACAACAGUUUCAACUCACUUCAGUGUAAUU